UCUCCGUUGGUGAACCAGCGGAGGGAUCAUUGCUGGAACGCGCCCCAGGCGCACCCAGAAACCCUUUGUGAACUUAUACCUUACUGUUGCCUCGGCGCAUGCUGGCCUCUAGUAGGCCCCUCACCCCGGUGAGGAGAAGGCACGCCGGCGGCCAAGUUAACUCUUGUUUUUACACUGAAACUCUGAGAAAAAACACAAAUGAAUCAAAACUUUCAACAACGGAUCUCUUGGUUCUGGCAUCGAUGAAGAACGCAGCGAAAUGCGAUAAGUAAUGUGAAUUGCAGAAUUCAGUGAAUCAUCGAAUCUUUGAACGCACAUUGCGCCCUCUGGUAUUCCGGAGGGCAUGCCUGUUCGAGCGUCAUUUCAACCCUCAAGCAUUGCUUGGUGUUGGGGCACUGCCUUUUACCGAGCAGGCCCUGAAAUCUAGUGGCGAGCUCGCCAGGACCCCGAGCGCAGUAGUUAAACCCUCGCUCUGGAAGGCCCUGGCGGUGCCCUGCCGUUAAACCCCCAACUUCUGAAAAUUUGACCUCGGAUCAGGUAGGAAUACCCGCUGAACUUAAGCAUA
rnacentral:rRNA from 1 species